AAGGGAGACCUAAUUCAGGUAGGAGACGAAAAAAAAGUAGUCGCUACCAAGAAUCAAUCCCAAAAGGUCGGAGCGAGGCGAAAUUGGCUUUCAAACUAGGUUCUGGGUUCAAACAAGACCUGAAUCAGGAACAAGGGCUAUUAGCUCAGGUGGUUAGAGCGCACCCCUGAUAAGGGUGAGGUCCCUGGUUCGAGUCCAGGAUGGCCCACCUGUACAGGUGGCAAAAACAAGAGAAGCGAGGAAUCAGCACCUUAUCUUACUGACAUAGUAAGAGAGAAUGCUGGCUCUGAGUUCAGAGUCCAGAGGAACCUUGAAAACUGCAUAGAGCUAGGUGAAAAAGCCAAAAAAGAAGACCGCAAGGUCAAGCUAAUAAGGGCUAACGGUGGAUACCUAGGCAC
rnacentral:tRNA from 1 species